rnacentral:lncRNA from 1 species
AUGUUAGGUUUUCUUGUUAGUCGUUAAGUCGUUAACUUUACUCGUGGACGAUCAUUUGAGAUAUGGAUAAUGUACGACCUUUCGGCGCCGCCUAGGCUCUGGUUGACUAUUUAAGUCGUUGUUGUUGUUUAGUUUGUUAUGUCAUCAUUGUUACAUCUUGUAGGUUGUUAGCUGGCUUAAGUCGCUCGGCCCUCUUUGUAAUCAUCGUGGCAUCCCAACGAGAAACGGAGCCUAUGCCCUUUCAGUUGGUAUCGAUCUAGACGAUCCGGCCUAUACGCUUCGCUCCGCCUUCGUCUUCAUCGUCUUCGUCGUCAUCGCUUUCGUCUUCGCUCUGCUGGUCAUCUUCGUCAUCGUCGUCUUCGUCAUCUUCGUCUUCGUCAUCCUCCGAUGGCUCCCGUCCCCAUCACGGGACUCUAUCAAGCGCAGCUUGCUAUGUUUGCCUUGACGCAGGGUUCCGGACCAAACUCCUUACAAUGCUACAUUGCGGAAUUCCAACGCCUUAUGGCUGACCUGCCGUACCGCCACGAGAAGGACCACGUCCUCUUCUUCGCGCAGGGACUGCAGGACGACCUCAGGAAGGAGAUCUUCUCACACUUACGCAACCCGGGUUCCUACAUACGACUGCAGGAUGUGAUCGACCUUGCGUGCACCAUUUCAAUGGAGCACGAUGCCGCUCACCGCUCACCGCAUUCGCUACCGCAGGGCACCUGCACCAUCAACGUCCCCACCGACCGCUCGCCCUUUCGUUCCACCACCUCUCGAACCGCAAACCGCUCUCCCUCCCGCUCCCCCUCCCCCUCUCCGACUCGCACCGACAAUUCCGACCGCCGUCGUCAGGACAACGACCGUGGACGCACCUUUCUCUCCCGUUCAGACAGCCCCCAGCCUUGCCGCGAUGACCAGCACCGCCGCGCCGACCCACCCUGCCGCCGCUGCCGUUCGCCUCGAUCCCGUCAACGUGGCCUUUAAGCCACCACCGGCAGAACAGGUUAGCCACAGCUUGCCGGUGCGUUUUGCUGUGCAAUGGUCAGCCGAGUCUGACACCCCGCCGCCGUCACCGUUCAACGUUUCGCGCCUAACCCAGAUCGCCAGUAAGCCCGCCCGCCGUGUAGGUUGUAUGCGUGCUCGUGUAGCUGCAGCCUCCACGACGGAAGCGCACCGGGUGGACAGCGACUGGAUGCUUUCGUGCACCGUCUUCGUCCUCUCUUAUCUCGUCGUCUCCAUCGUCACCUACUUCGUCGUCUUCGUCUCCUCUUAUCUCAUCGUCUCCGUCGUCACCUACUUCGUCGUCAUCACCAACGUUCUUCGUCUCGCGAAAAUCGUCCGUAAGCCUGCCCGUCUUGCCGGCUGCAAGCGUGCUCGUGCAGCUGCAACCUCGACAACGACGGGAGCAUGCCAGGCGAACAGCGAUUACACCCUUUUACUCUCACGUCUUCAUCCCCCACCCUGUUCCCUGAUACCACCCUUCACCCCGUUUCCACCUCGUCCCAUCCUUCACCAUCUUCUGCCAACCAUCCGUCAUCGCCUUCAAGUCUGUCAGAACUCUCAUCGUUCAUUUCUCCAGUCCCCAUCCAGCACCUUUGCCCCAACCAUCGGACUGCCCUUCACCUCAACCUACUGUUGCUAAUCUUAUCACCAGCCUUCUCACCGUCGUCCUCCAGCUCCACCCGCCGUGCCCAUCACACUGGAGUCACCGUACGACCACGCCGACACUAUCGUUACUGCAGUUCGCCUAGGUUAUAACCGACGUGGUCGGCCGUCCGUCAUGUUCCUAGUUCAGUGGUCUACCGCCAGUGGCCGUGACGCGUCCUGGGAACCGUACGAUGACGUACGCAGCCUUCCAGCACUUCGUGCCUUCCUGGCGACCCCAGCCUGGACCUCGUUUAAGCUGUCCGACCGCUAUGCCUGGUUCAGAGCGAAGUUUCCGGAACGCGCCCCGAGGAUAGUGCACUUCGUGACAACCUAGCGCUACGCAUAGGAUGUGUGUUGUGUGUGACUCGUGUCCUGUGUGUUUCAGUUUGGGUUAUUUCGCCUCAGUUUUGCGCGUGUCGUGUCUUGACUUCUGUUUUUUUCGGGGUAUUGCGUGUUGCAUGUUGUGUAUUUUCGCGUUCUCUUGCGUUCUUUUGUCAUCCACCGAGUUUGCUUUCCGUGCCUUAGGCUUUUGGUUUGCGUACUCUUUGUGGAUGUUUUGGACACGUUCGUUGGGAUAUAUACCGGUUCCUCAGACCGGCAAGUAUAGGUGUCGUGCGCCUUAUUUAGGCCGGUAUCCAGUGCGGGGAAGGUUUUGCCUUGACUCCGGUUCCCUUUUGCCUUCCCCUCGUUAGCCUGGUACCGAUUUCGUUCAGGGAAUCGGAGUGGCGCACGACUUAGAAUACUUUGUACUUUUGAUCGCAUCGAGGCCGAUGCUUGUGCUAAGCAGGGGGGCAUGUUAGGUUUUCUUGUUAGUCGUUAAGUCGUUAACUUUACUCGUGGACGAUCAUUUGAGAUAUGGAUAAUGUACGACCUUUCGGCGCCGCCUAGGCUCUGGUUGACUAUUUAAGUCGUUGUUGUUGUUUAGUUUGUUAUGUCAUCAUUGUUACAUCUUGUAGGUUGUUAGCUGGCUUAAGUCGCUCGGCCCUCUUUGUAAUCAUCGUGGCAUCCCAACGAGAAACGGAGCCUAUGCCCUUUCAACACAUGUUUGACUUGGUGUUGUAGUUUCACUAUUUCAAGAAACCCAAACGACGGGGUCCUGGGGACUCGGUCAGAGCCAUCAGCCAAGAAGUUACACUAUUUAAGGCGUUAUCAGUAUGAUAUCCAACUAUUGCGUAUCAUAUU